AAAUGCCCCCCGAAGGCUGAAUGAGCGCCACUUCCACACUCAGGGCGGGGGAGGCCGGGGGACGUGGGAGCGGCGCACCAGGAGCAAGGCGUCCCUGGUGACAGCGCGUCCCAAGGGCUCUCCCUUUUCCCAGAGCGCAUUCCAAAGGCCGACUCCUUUGCAGGCUCCACGAGCCCCAUUCGCGGUGGAGAGGGGCGUUCCAGGCUGCAGGGUUUCCUCCUAGACACAAGAGACAGGUGAUUUCUGCCUUCAGACACAGUGUGUCUUCCUGAUUUGUGACAAGAGGAACAGCCCCCCGUUUCUUCAUUCUUCCCAGGAGAAUAAAUUGCAU
ensembl:lncRNA